UACGUAGGGGGCUAGCGUUGUCCGGAAUCAUUGGGCGUAAAGAGCGUGUAGGCGGUCCGGUAAGUCCGCUGUGAAAGUCGGGGGCUCAACCCUCGAAUGCCGGUGGAUACUGUCGUGCUAGAGUGCGGAAGAGGCGAGUGGAAUUCCUGGUGUAGCGGUGAAAUGCGCAGAUAUCAGGAGGAACACCUAUUGCGAAGGCAGCUCGCUGGGACGUAACUGACGCUGAGACGCGAAAGCGUGGGGAGCAAACAGG
rnacentral:rRNA from 1 species